rnacentral:lncRNA from 1 species
GUCCCGCCAAACUGUUUAUAUUCAGUACUCACCUUGAAAGACAGUGCCUACGAAAACCGAACUGGAACAUUUGUUUACUGGGGAACUGUACAUAGGUCCAGCAAUACCAACUUCGAUCCCAUUAAUCGAACCAGACCCCCUGUUUCUAUAUUCAAGAGCUGAUGGAUUCGUCAAGCUUCACGUUCUCCAAGCGCAGCUUUACACUCGAACAGAGUGGAUUAACGCUUUGACCGGCGCGCAGCAGGCGUCAGGGCGCAGCCACAUUGAAUGCGAUUGAAGCAGGGAUCACCGAACUCCAAGCUCUAAUAGCCCGUUAAAGACAUCAUUCGUAACUAUUUCGGCUACAUGGGAAUAACUCAGGACCAAACCAUUCAAGAAAUUUUAACGGAGAGCGAUAUCAUGCCCGUACUGUGGUUACACAAGACAGACAAAAAGGCCUCUAUACAUUCGUCUAAAGAAAUAUGCUACGUUUGCAACCACUUCAUUUCGGGCGCCUCCGCCUGUACUGGGACUUCGAGAUACCGGAUGAGAGUGGAACGAACGAAAGUGAAUUAGUGAUGGAGACAAACCUGUUGAAACGAGACUGACGUGCCGAGGUAACAUCAGACUUGGCAAAGGAGCUUUAUUAGCGUGCUAUAACGAGGCCACUGACGCCUCCAUACCUAUACGACGGCUAGCACACCCAGAUAUCUAGUUUAGGCACCAUCAGCAAUAUGGUUAACAACGUUUUAACGAAAUUUUCUUAACAACAAGCUCGUGAAGGAGUUCUUUGUGGAUGCUCUAAUUUAUACUAAUAUAUCACUCCAGGCAGUUGUGUGUGUGUCUAAAUGGCACAUUCAUGGACUGUUUUAUUCAAAGCUGUUCGUUAGAGGGCACCUAUGUAUCCUGGCAUAGCGAAGUACGCACGAAUGUCGGUGCUUGUGACAAGUGGUACUCACAGACUCGGGCAAUUGCCCUGUCAAAGCAAUCGACUAUAUAUGAAGUUUACCGAGGUAAUACCGGCUUUGAGAGGGAAAGUUUUUUCUCCUGGCUUCAACUUACUCAUGUGAGGGGUGUCUCAUGGUCGCCUCGUGCUUCCUCUGACGGCCAGUGUAGCCAACCUCUUGGCCAACCUGACAGACAUACCUACCGAUUAAUGACGAGACUCAAGCCACACUGCACAAGGGUACCAUCGAACCACCAUGUAGUCACUAGUACUGCUUUCAAAUUCUCCUAAAGAAAUAGAAUGGAAAAUGCUUUUCUGCGGUGAUUACUGCAACCUGAAUGCUACUACUAUGAAGCGGGAUAUGUAUUUGCUGCGGUCUACUUCAGGGCACUGAUUUUGAUUGAUGGAAUUAGCAAACUACCAUGUAUUUCGACGACGAAAAGAAAACGGCGUGUUGCGCCUUGAGAGGAUCUGAGUAAACUGGCUAGCCGCCGUCAUCUACUGCAAUGGCCAUGUAGCUGAAAAAUUCCCGGUUUCGCCUACGUUUACAGGCGCUUCAGGUAGGUUUCUCGAACUGCCAACUCGUUUUAUGCUUCUGUUAACACUUGACAAACCGGAUUAGGCAGCGCUGUCUCAGGUGAAAAAAACUAAUUAAGAGUAAUAGUGUGCUCCAUUGAGAAUUUCGCACAUAUUUAGAUGUGUGUCACUUCAAUACAGCGAGCAAGAGGAUUAUAUCGAAAGAUGUGAAGAAGUUGACUUACAGAGCCUUGACCUUCCAGAAGAAUACUUUCACUAUCUAGGAUGUAAAAAUCCUGUGCACGGACGGAACAUCUAUGUAGAACGACAUCAUUAAAGGAGACUGUUUAUAAAAAUGAGUAAACCUGUUGGAACAGAAGGAAAUCACGUCGCCUUGGAGCAUAUGUAUAUCUACUAUCUGGGGGACGACUAGCUAUCGCUAGCGACUGUAAUGUCUUUGGCGUUUUUUUUAGACGUUUUUUUAUAUGUUUUAGUUUGUUCAGUCGCUUUUUAUGGCGCAGAAUUGGUGUGAUAUUUUAGCUUAAAUUAUAAGAGUAGCUGAAAUUUCCUAUUCGAGUUCGUAGUCAAAAAUCGCUAUGUUCAAAAUGGUUCAUUUUUUUUUUAAGAAUCACUCGCCCCCUGCGUCGACGAUAUGCGUUUGUUGUUUAAGCGUAACAUGCUGCUAAUUGUCUGAUGGACAUAUUUACAAAUUAUGAACACCGCGUUCGGUUAGCAUGCAGGUAUUAUUACUUGUUUUCUAUUCUUCCAUGGAAUUUUGUGACUGUACAAAAAUUAUGUUGUAAGAAACGAUUUGGUAUUUGUAUCGUUGUACAUGAACAUCAUAUACGGGACUAUAAUAAUAAUAUUACAUUACUUUAGAAAAACAAGGACAUUUCGCGCCUUCCUUGUAUUGUAUUCGCUUGUUUUUUAGCGUUCAGUUUAAGUUUUUCUGCUCAAGUGAUUACAAGCUACCUCAAAAGCCACACUCAUUUAUUUUCGCUUAUUUGUAAGUUUCUAUCUCUUCGAAUUUUAUUACGUCGACACUGUAGAUUAAUUAGAAUGGGCACCUUGGCAUCGUCCUGUGGUUCCAAUACUGCUUUGUUCAAUUCAAGUUAUGACAUUAUACCAAUAGAUUUACAUACAUAUUUAGUUGAUAGUUUUCGAACUAGAAAAGCGUAAACAACUUGUAGCCGCACCACUAGUUGCAGCAUUCUAAUUAUUGGCAUUAAAAUGUUUGCCUCUUUGUACCAUAGAUGGCGCCACCGGUCACAAGUGGAAUCUGGUUGUGUGAUCAUAUCUUACUAUAGGAAUUAGGUCUUCAAAAUUAAGUACAGCUGAUUAUCGUAAUUAAUCGUUAAACCUGCAAACGUGCACAUAAUAAACCACACUGUUGAGCUCUAUCUACAGUUUAAAUUUGGUCAUUAUUGUAUUCGACUUUUCUCAAACAAAGAUUGCAACGACAGCUUGCACAUAAUUAUAAAGAUUGUCCCGACUGUAAUAAAAGCAAUGAAAGGACAUAUAAGACUCAUUUGAAAAAUGUGAACAUUAAUAAAGCACUGGCUUACAUAGCGCACUAACAUCCAAGACAUUAGAGUGGCCCGUCUUCCGCAUGACUAUACAACAUACCUUUAUCGAAAGCUUAGUUAGGGGUCGCUUUUAGCCUCCGAAUGACAUAUAGAAAAACUCUUAUCGAAUGUGUUUGUGAACGGUUCGUCUGAACAACUCUUGAACAAGGGAAGAGUAAUUAAGUUGUAGAUUCGGAUUUACCUUUUAUGCCUAUUGUCUUCAGAUUUUUUAAGUCUUAACUCACAACACUGGGUAAAACGCAGAAUCAUACACGCUUAAAGGUACGCAUAUGCUAACAGAAUUGUAUCAACAAAAGAUUGCACCAAAUAUAAACAACGAAGGUUUGCCAAACUUGUCUUAACCCCCCAAAAAACAAUCUUAUUGGACCAUUAUAUUUUGUGACUACUUAGAUUGAAAAAACGUCGUCCACAAUAGGCGGCUUCUGUAAUAAUUAACAAGUAAGCGCGCAAUGUUUGCCCAGCAUCAUCAAAGCAAUCAAUUUUAUGAUGAUGAUUAUGACGGCUUGAAUAACUAAGUGUAACUACAGGCUACUAAGUUUAGAAAGGAACCUUGCCCGAAAAGCUUGCGUCGGCAUCUCACCUUAAAAACUGCGAUGCUGGUUUAGUCCUCACACUUGCAAUGUUACACAUAAGCGAGGACGGAAUGAUUUUCUUAAGAGAAAUAUUAGAAUUGUAUAUAUAUAUACAUAAGUGAAAUUUAAGUGCGGAACAACAGCUUGUCCAAUGACACUUCGUCACAAAGAACUUUUCAUGGCUGGAUGCGCAGACUGUAAAUAAUUUGGAGCUAUCAUGUUUAAGAUCUUCAGUUCUUUCCAGUAUAGGACCCGUUGUUCCGUCAAAGACUUGUCCUUGAGAAGCGUCUAUCACCGGUCCAGGAAGUUAUUCGUAGGCGCAAAUAUCGGAUAAUGUGGACCGCUUACCUAACCAUGUUUGAUCCUUCUUUUUAAUCAUCCCUAUGAAAACAUAUACCGAAUUUAUACAGGUAAACACCAACUGCAAUAUAAUAAUCAGGUGUAUACUAAAGGAAAUAAACUGAUUUAUUUAACUGAUUUAUUAUUUGAACAAUUUAGCGGUGCACGGAUAGAUUAUGGUCAUACAAACGAACAAAUCUUCUACCCACAAGUAAUUCUAUAUGUUUUACUAUAAUAUUGCAAUUGAAAUAAAAGGUAGAGCGGGCAGAUCUGUUGUUCCUCAAGGAUUCUCACUUUUCAUCCUUAGACAACCUCGACCUAUUUACCCAUAGGCGUGCAUGAAUUUCCUAUAGGAAUCCCAAAACCACACUUUUUCCGACCACUUUUUAUGUGAAUUACACGACCUAAGAAUUAAAUGACUACUGAGCUGAGAUUAAGUUCUUCUAAAAGUCAAGGCUACUCAAUUGGCAAUUCAACUAUCUUCAAUCGGAAACCGGCAUUUUUAAGUUUACCGUAGCAUUCAAUCCUAGUAGCUGAGCAUCAACGUCGCCGUUUCGUUGCUUCCGCACUUUGCCUUUGAUGGUUAUGCAUGAGCAGAUGACCUUGGUUAAUGCAUUUGGGUCUCUUGUUGGCUUUCAAAUCGUCGUGUCGCAGAAAACCCGCCUUACAAUCAACCAUUUCAACAGCUCGAUGACUGUUCUACCUCACUGAGGAAGGUGGGUCAGUGGUUUCGCUUUUGUUGGAACGCGGAAGAAAAUGCCGCUGGCUUUGCCGGAAGUGCUCCGUUCUGCACCCAAACAGGCGAUUGAUCGACACUUUCGGGCCUCAUCCUGCCUCGAAGGAACUU